rnacentral:rRNA from 1 species
AGAGUUUGAUCAUGGCUCAGAACGUACGCUGGCGGCACGCCUAACACAUGCAAGUCGAACGAAGUAGCAAUACUUAGUGGCAGACGGGUGAGUAACAUGUAGGUAUCUGCCCUUUGGCCUGGAAUAACACGAGGAAACUUGUGCUAAUACCGGAUAAGUCUUUACGGAGAAAGCUUUAUGCACCAUUGGAUGAGCCUGCACUUGAUUAGUUUGUUGAUGGGGUAAUGGCCUACCAAGACUGUGAUCAAUAGCUGAUUUGAGAGGAUGAUCAGCCACAUUGGGACUGAGACACGGCCCAAACUCCUACGGGAGGCAGCAGUGGGGAAUCUUGCACAAUGGAGGAAACUCUGAUGCAGCGAUGCCGCGUGAGUGAAGAAGGCCCUUGGGUUGUAAAGCUCUUUCGUCGGGGAAGAAAAUGACUGUACCCGAAUAAGAAGGUCCGGCUAACUUCGUGCCAGCAGCCGCGGUAAUACGAAGGGACCUAGCGUAGUUCGGAAUUACUGGGCUUAAAGAGUUCGUAGGUGGUUGAAAAAGUUAGUGGUGAAAUCCCAGAGCUUAACUCUGGAACUGCCAUUAAAACUUUUCAGCUAGAGUAUGAUAGAGGAAAGCAGAAUUUCUAGUGUAGAGGUGAAAUUCGUAGAUAUUAGAAAGAAUACCAAUUGCGAAGGCAGCUUUCUGGAUCAUUACUGACACUGAGGAACGAAAGCAUGGGUAGCGAAGAGGAUU